rnacentral:rRNA from 1 species
AACGAACGCUGGCGGCAUGCCUAACACAUGCAAGUCGAACGAGACCUUCGGGUCUAGUGGCGCACGUGUGCGUAACGCGUGGGAACCUGCCCUUAGGUUCGGAAUAACUCCCCGAAAGGGGUGCUAAUACCGGAUAAUGUCUUCCGACCAAAGAUUUAUCGCCUUUGGAUGGGCCCGCGUUGGAUUAGCUAGUUGGUAGGGUAAAAGCCUACCAAGGCGACGAUCCAUAGCUGGUCUGAGAGGAUGAUCAGCCACACUGGGACUGAGACACGGCCCAGACUCCUACGGGAGGCAGCAGUGGGGAAUAUUGGACAAUGGGCGAAAGCCUGAUCAAGCAAUGCCGCGUGAGUGAUGAAGGCCUUAGGGUUGUAAAGCUCUUUUACCCGGGAUGAUAAUGACAGUACCGGGAGAAUAAGCUCCGGCUAACUACGUG